AUUGAACGCUGGCGGCAGGCUUAACACAUGCAAGUCGAGCGGGGGAGGUUGCUUCGGUAACUGACCUAGCGGCGGACGGGUGAGUAAUACUUAGGAAUCUGCCUAUUAAUGGGGGACAACAUCUCGAAAGGGAUGCUAAUACCGCAUACGCCCUACGGGGGAAAGCAGGGGAUCACUUGUGACUCUGCGUUAAUAGAUGAGCCUAAGUCGGAUUAGCUAGUUGGUGGGGUAAAGGCCUACCAAGGCGACGAUCUGUAGCGGGUCUGAGAGGAUGAUCCGCCACACUGGGACUGAGACACGGCCCAGACUCCUACGGGAGGCAGCAGUGGGGAAUAUUGGACAAUGGGGGGAACCCUGAUCCAGCCAUGCCGCGUGUGUGAAGAAGGCCUUAUGGUUGUAAAGCACUUUAAGCGAGGAGGAGGCUCUUUUGGUUAAUACCCAAGAUGAGUGGACGUUACUCGCAGAAUAAGCACCGGCUAACUCUGUGCCAGCCGCCGCCGUAACAC
rnacentral:rRNA from 1 species